rnacentral:rRNA from 1 species
UACGGAGGGUGCAAGCGUUAUCCGGAUUCACUGGGUUUAAAGGGUGCGUAGGUGGGCAGGUAAGUCAGUGGUGAAAUCUCCGGGCUUAACCCGGAAACUGCCGUUGAUACUAUCUGUCUUGAAUAUAGAGGAGGUGAGCGGAAUAUGUCAUGUAGCGGUGAAAUGCUUAGAUAUGACAUAGAACACCAAUUGCGAAGGCAGCUCGCUACACGAAUAUUGACUCUGAGGCACGAAAGCGUGGGGAUCAAACAGG